rnacentral:rRNA from 1 species
GGGGGGGGGGGGCGGGGGGGGUGAGAGGUGCAAGGCGGAGGGGGGUGGGGGGACAGGAGCCUCGGCUGAAGAUGACUAAUGAGAGGGGCGAACGGGGGAGGAACGCGUGAUCGACCUGCCUAGGACAGGGGGCUAGCCUCGGGAAACCGGGGGUACUACCGCCUAAAAUCGUAGAAGCACAUGUUUUACCGGUCAAAUAUUUGUCGGUCCUCGAUGGACUCGGGUCUGAUUAGCUAGUUGGUGAGAUAACAGCCCACCAAGGCGACGCUCCGUAUCCGGUCUGAGAGGAUGAACGGACACAUUGGAACUGCGACCCGGUCCACACUCCUACGGGAGGCAGCAGUGGGGAAUAUUGCACAAUGGGGGAAACCCUGAUGCAGCGACGCCGCGUGAACGAAGAAGGUAUUCGUAUCGUAAAGUUCUGUCCUAUGGGAAGAUGAUGACAGUACCAUAGAAGAAAGCUCCGGCUAAAUACGUG